rnacentral:rRNA from 1 species
GACGAACGCUGGCGGCGUGCUUAACACAUGCAAGUCGAACGGAAAGGCCCCUUUGGGGGUCCUCGAGUGGCGAACGGGUGAGUAACACGUGAGUAACCUGCCCUUGACUUCGGGAUAACUUCAGGAAACUGGGGCUAAUACCGGAUAGGAAUCCUUGCUGCAUGGUGGGGGUUGGAAAGCUUCGGCGGUUUUGGAUGGACUCGCGGCUUAUCAGCUUGUUGGUGGGGUAGUGGCUUACCAAGGCUUUGACGGGUAGCCGGCCUGAGAGGGCGACCGGCCACAUUGGGACUGAGAUACGGCCCAGACUCCUACGGGAGGCAGCAGUGGGGAAUAUUGCACAAUGGGCGGAAGCCUGAUGCAGCAACGCCGCGUGCGGGAUGACGGCCUUCGGAUUGUAAACCGCUUUCAGCAGGGGCGAAGCUUGUGGUGACGGUACCUGCAGAAGAAGCACCGGCUAACUACGUG